rnacentral:rRNA from 1 species
UACGUAGGGUGCGAGCGUUGUCCGGAAUUAUUGGGCGUAAAGAGCUCGUAGGUGGUUUGUCGCGUUGUUCGUGAAAACCGGGGGCUUAACCCUCGGCGUGCGGGCGAUACGGGCAGACUUGAGUACUGCAGGGGAGACUGGAAUUCCUGGUGUAGCGGUGGAAUGCGCAGACAUCAGGAGGAACACCGGUGGCGAAGGCGGGUCUCUGGGCAGUAACUGACGCUGAGGAGCGAAAGCGUGGGGAGCGAACAGG